UACGAAAGGGGCUAGCGUUGUUCGGAAUUACUGGGCGAAAAGCGCACGUAGGCGGCCUUGUAAGUUGGGGGUGAAAUCCCGGGCCUCAACUCCGGAACUGCGUUCAAGAGUGCAAAGCUAGAGGACGCGAGUGGUUAGCUGAAUUCCGAGUGUAGAGGUGAAAUUCGUAGAUAUUCGGAAGAACACCAGUGGCGAAGUCGGCUAACAGGCGCGUUUCUGACGCUGAGGUGCGAAAGCGUGGGGAGCAAACAUU
rnacentral:rRNA from 1 species